CGGCUACCACAUCUAAGGAAGGCAGCAGGCGCGUAAAUUACCCAAUCCUGACUCAGGGAGGUAGUGACAAGAAAUAGCAAACCGGGAACCUCAUGGUUUCACGGUAUUGCAAUGAGAACAAUUUAAAACCCUUAGCGAGAAUCAAGUGGAGGACAAGUCUGGUGCCAGCACCCGCGGUAAUUCCAGCUCCACUAGCGUAUAUUAAAGUUGUUGCAGUUUAAAAGCUCGUAGUUGAACCUCUGUCUGGGGCUAGUUUUGGCUUUGGUCAGGCUAGUUCUAGGCAUCCGCCUACAAGACUUAGAGGGCAUUCAGUUGUUCACUAGGAGGAGUAGGCAUUUUACUUUGAAAAAAUUAGAGUGUUUAAGGCAGGCAAUCGCCCGCAUAUAUUAGCAUGGAAUAAUAGAAUAGGACACUUUUCCAUUUCGUUGGUUAUUGGAAUCGUGUAAUGAUUAAUAGGGGCAGUUGUGGGCAUUUGUAUUUAAUUGUCAGAGGUGAAAUUCUUGGAUUUAUUAAAGACAAACUAACGCGAAAGCAUUUGCCAAGGAUGUUUUCAUUAAUCAAGAACGAAAGUUAGGGGAUCAAAGACGAUCAGAUACCGUCCUAGUCUUAACUAUAAACUAUUCCGACUCAAUGUUUGACUGGCUUAUAUAACCAGUUGAGCGUUGUAUGAGAAAUCAAAGUCUUUAGGUUCUGGGGGGAGUAUGGUUGCAAAGCUGAAACUUAAAGGAAUUGACGGAAGAGCACAACCAGGAGUGGAUUCUGCGGCUUAAUUUGACUCAACACGGGGAAACUUACCAGGUUAAAACAAUAGUGGGAUUGACAGUUUGAGAGCGCUUUCUUGAUUGGUUGGGUGGUGGUGCAUGGCCGUUCUUAGUUGGUGGAGUGAUUUGUCUGCUUAAUUGCGUUAACGAACGAGACCUUAACCUGCUUACUAGACUGGCGAUCAUCAAUCGUUAGCUCUUCUUAGAGGGACUUUGGUUGUUUUAACUCCAAGGAAGUUUGAGGCAAUAACAGGUCUGUGAUGCCCUUAGAUAUCCUGGGCCGCACGCGUCAUACAAUGACUAGUUCAGAAAGUUUUCUCCUGACCCGAAAGGGGAUGGGUAAUCUUGAUAAUACUAGUCGUGUUAGGGAUCGAUCUUUGCAAUUAUAGAUCUUGAACGAGGAAUUCCUAGUAAGUGCGGUUCAUCAGACCGUACUGAUUACGUCCCUGCUCUUUGUACACACCGCCCGUCGCUUCUACCGAGUGGGUGGUCCGGUGAGAUAAUUGAACUUCGCAGGUAACUGAGAGGAAAGAUUAUCAAACCUAUCCACCUCGAGGAAGAAGAAGUCGUAACAAGGUU
rnacentral:rRNA from 1 species